GGCCCUUGAAUCGUGCGCUCUUGCUCACGUAGCCUUCAACGCAUAUGUUUGUGUCAUUUGUAUAUGGAGUGGCUGUCGAGAUAUAUGCUUAUUACAUGUGGUUAUGCAACUUCCGGAUGCCGACAGUUUGUCCUAGCUUGCGAGCAGGAACAUAUAUAUCGUGUAGGUAUUGCAGGCAUCUAUGUAUGUAAGUUGGUCCAAGAAAAAUCGAAAAAAUAAUGUAAGUUAUUACUCUUCCUCUGUAUCUAAAUAAUUGUAGUUGAAGAGAACUGAAAUACAAAAUAUUGGUCUUCAAACGUGUUUCAGUAGAGGUGUUUUGCAGGGAGGGAAGAGGAAGCAUUUAAAACACACAUGGGUUUUCCCAUGAUUUUCAAAUUCCUGUGCCAAUAGAGAGAGACUUGAUUCCAUGGCAUCUUAAAAGAGUAGAGGAUUUUUUGUUUUGUUUUUGAUCUGUCAAGUGUUGGGAUACAUCAAGCUAAGAAAAAAAAAAGUGUUGAGGUACAUUGUGGAUGUGUCAGUAGGCACUGGAAGUAUUACGUUGACAAGAUGCUAUAGAUUGGCUGCAUGAUUCUUGAGCAGAUGCCAUGGCGUGUCUGUAUUAUGUCUGCUAACCCGCAUAUGGCUACGUUUUCCCUGGUGGAUUUAGGGCUGUGGGCCCGCAAGGAUUAGCGGCCAGGCCAGGUGUUUUGUCUCAUCCCUCGGUUACAUUCUGCAGAAGAAAUGCAGCGUUUUCUGUUGGCUGGAUUAAGGGGUUUUCUGGGGAGAUGAUGAUGGGAGGUGGUUGAGAUUACACUGUCAAUAUAUCCAUGUCCACUUGUUUAAUGUGUAUAGUCUGCAGGCUGCCUGUUUGAGACCUUUAUUAGGUUAUUAUAGGGUUUGCCUACCAUCUUAUAUUAUUUCUUGUGUGGAAAAGUUUGGAGCAAGCCUGCCGUGUUUGUCAGAUGGAGUGUGUGGAUAGAGAAUGCCACAUUAUUAACCAAAUGGUUUAUUGUUCCUUCCUAUUCUUCUUCCCC
rnacentral:lncRNA from 1 species